CCGUAAACUUAAAUAGUCUCAAGACAAGACCAUUCGCCAGAGUACUACCGGCAACAGCCCAAAACUCAAAGGACUUGGCGGUGCUUCGCAUCCUUCUAGAGGAGCCUGUUCUAUAAACGAUAAACCCCGAUUAACCUCACCAACCCUCGCUACUUCAGUCUAUAUACCGCCAUCUCAAGCAAACCCUAAAAAGGAGCAAGAGUAAGCAUAAUUAUCUUACAUAAGAACGUUAGGUCAAGGUGUAACUUAUGAGUUGGGAAGAAAUGGGCUACAUUUUCUAUAACAAGAACACCUCUUACAUACACCACGAAAGUUUUCAUGAAACCUAAAAACUAAAGGAGGAUUUAGUAGUAAACUAAGAGUAGAGUGCUUAUUUGAAUAAGGCCA
rnacentral:rRNA from 1 species